UAAGUAUUAAGUUAAUUGUAAACUGGAGACCUUCAAAGUCUUUUUUGGUUAGGAGCCAUACUUAG
rnacentral:tRNA from 1 species